UGCGUAGGCGGAUUUAUAAGUCAGUGGUGAAAUCCUACAGCUUAACUGUAGAACUGCCAUUGAUACUGUAGAUCUUGAGUACGGUUGAGGUGGGCGGAAUGUGUCGUGUAGCGGUGAAAUGCUUAGAUAUGACACAGAACACCAAUUGCGAAGGCAGCUCGCUAAACCGUAACUGACGCUGAGGCACGAAAGCGUGGGGAGCGAACAGGAUUAGAUACCCUGGUAGUCC
rnacentral:rRNA from 1 species